CACCUUAAUAUGCAUAAUUUUUGUAAUGGGAUCCAAAUUUGUAGUCCUGCUGGAGACCAUCAUUUGUAGGACAUCUAUUUUGAACAAGUCUUCCAAACAUACCGAUUCUGGCAAAAAAA